AGUAUCCGUUUGUUAUUAAAUAUGGGCCUCGUGCUCAUCCUGGCAACAGGAACGACCAUAAAGAAGCCGUCGAGAGAUAUCGGAAGAGUUUUCUUUUCUGUUUUAUAGCCGUACUACCAUGGAAGUCUUUCGCAGAGAGAUAUGGUAGAUGGGCUAGAAGAGCAUGACAUAUACUGUUGUGUCGAUAUUUUCUCCUCGGACCUUGAAAAUUUAUGGUGGGGACACGCAAACUUCUCAACAGGCCGUACCAAUAUCCGCAGCUGGUCUCCAAGGUGAAGAGUCUCUAGUCGAUAGAAUAAUGUAGGUAAGGGAAGUCGGCAAAUUAGAUCCGUAACUUCGGGAUAAGGAUUGGCUCUGAAGAUUGAGAUAGUCGGGCUUGAUUGGGAAACAAUAACAUGGUUUAUGUGCUCGUUCUGGGUAAAUAGAGUUUCUAGCAUUUAUGUUAGUUACUUGUUCCCCGGAUAGUUUAGUUACGUAGCCAAUUGUGGAACUUUCUUGCUAAAAUUUUUAAGAAUACUAUUUGGGUUAAACCAAUUAGUUCUUAUCAAUUAUAACGAUUAUCAAUUAACAAUCAAUUCAGAACUGGCACGGACUUGGGGAAUCCGACUGUCUAAUUAAAACAAAGCAUUGUGAUGGCCCUAGCGGGUGUUGACACAAUGUGAUUUCUGCCCAGUGCUCUGAAUGUCAAAGUGAAGAAAUUCAAGUAAGCGCGGGUCAACGGCGGGAGUAACUAUGACUCUCUAAGGUAGCCAAAUGCCUCGUCAUCUAAUUAGUGACGCGCAUGAAUGGAUUAACGAGAUUCCUACUGUCCCUAUCUACUAUCUAGCGAAACCACAGCCAAGGGAACGGGCUUGGAAUAAUUAGCGGGGAAAGAAGACCCUUUUGAGCUUGACUCUAAUCUGGCAGUGUAAGGAGACAUAAGAGGUGUAGAAUAAGUGGGAGAUAUUAGACCUCGGUUUGGUAUCGUCAAUGAAAUACCACUACUCUUAUUGUUUCCUUACUUACUUGAUUAAAUGGAACGUGUAUCAUUUCCUAGCCAUUAUACGGAUAUAUUUAUUAUAUCUUAUGGUAUUGGGUUUUGAUGCAAGCUUCUUGAUCAAAGUAUCACGAGUUUGUUAUAUAAUCGCAAACAAAUUCUUUAAUAAAACGAUGCAUUUAUGUAUUUUUGAUUUGAAAAUUUGGUAUAACUCCAAUUACUCAGGUAUGAUCCAAUUCAAGGACAUUGCCAGGUAGGGAGUUUGACUGGGGCGGUACAUCUCUCAAAUAAUAACGGAGGUGUCCCAAGGCCAGCUCAGUGCGGACAGAAACCACACAUAGAGCAAAAGGGCAAAUGCUGACUUGAUCUCGGUGUUCAGUACACACAGGGACAGCAAAAGCUCGGCCUAUCGAUCCUUUUGGUUUAAAGAGUUUUUAACAAGAGGUGUCAGAAAAGUUACCAUAGGGAUAACUGGCUUGUGGCGGCCAAGCGUUCAUAGCGACGUCGCUUUUGAUC
rnacentral:rRNA from 1 species